rnacentral:rRNA from 1 species
GAUGAACGCUGGCGGCGUGCCUAAUACAUGCAAGUCGAGCGAACAGACGAGGAGCUUGCUCCUCUGACGUUAGCGGCGGACGGGUGAGUAACACGUGGAUAACCUACCUAUAAGACUGGGAUAACUUCGGGAAACCGGAGCUAAUACCGGAUAAUAUAUUGAACAGCAUGGUUCAAUAGUGAAAGACGGUUUUGCUGUCAAUUAUAGAUGGAUCCGCGCCGCAUUAGCUAGUUGGUAAGGUAACGGCUUACCAAGGCAACGAUGCGUAGCCGACCUGAGAGGGUGAUCGGCCACACUGGAACUGAGACACGGUCCAGACUCCUACGGGAGGCAGCAGUAGGGAAUCUUCCGCAAUGGGCGAAAGCUUGACGGAGCAACGCCGCGUGAGUGAUGAAGGUCUUCGGAUCGUAAAACUCUGUUAUUAGGGAAGAACAAAUGUGUAAGUAACUAUGCACGUCUUGACGGUACCUAAUCAGAAAGCCACGGCUAACUACGUG